GAUGCUGUGUCAUGGUUUGUGUGUGAAGAAACAAAAUUGCAUAAAGGAGGCGUUUUGGGAAGAGAGAUGGGAGAACAGAACCAAAGCCACUACCAGAACAUGACCUAAAUCAGAACAAACAUUGGAAGACUGUCAGAUGUUAAAAAAAAGAAGGCUGGAUCUGACUCUGAAAGUAGUUUCUCUUGACCAGCCCUGCUGCCAGGUCCCUUUGAAAGGAAAUCACUGCUAAUGCAGCUGGCACUGCCUGGAGAAAAGAAACUGAAAACAGUUGGCUCCUUUGAUGUCAGUCACUGAUCUGGCCUCACAUGAUGCAGCUCCUCUGUGUGGUGUUACAACCUGGUACAGGGAUGUUUCACAGUGCUGUGACAAGGACAAAGGAGACACAGUACAAGACCAAAUUAAGAUGCAGUUAAUUAGUCUGUGUGACAGACUUUGCAACUGGGAAAGGAAGAUUAAGAAAUAAAGUCCUUGUCUUCAUGGAAAAAGCCUGUUGGAGUGCUGGCCUGCAGCCAAGUGUCCUGGACCUGUGAGGUUUUUCCUGUCAGCAAUCCCUGAUGGGGAUGUUUUCCCUGGCUGUUCCAAGGGGAAGGAGCAGCUCUGGAGUUGUUGCAGUCACAGGAUGCAGUGGGUGCAUGCCCUGAGAACGAGUUCAGGAUUGUUCAUCUGAGUCUGCCGCUGACCUGUGACUUCCAGGGCCCCUCCUGAUGUCCUGGAUAUUCCCAGGAGAGGAUAUUCCAAGGCUUGCCUUUUGAGCCAGCAAUUCCAGAGGCAGUGGUGCUUUAGGAAAGGCCCUCCAGCCUGGGAAGGAGCUUUUGGCUCCGGACACAUUCCCAGUCCCCAGGAGCAGCAGGACCUGUGCUGUUCCCAGCAGGUGAGGCAGAGGGGCCUUUCCUUCCUUCCCUGCUGCACUUGGGCUUUGUUUUUUUUCUCUGGGGGUCUGAGGGAGAAGUUCUUUGUCACUGCAGGGCAGAAUUAGCCCUGAUCCCCCUAAAAGCAGGAGGAAUCAUUUUAUCCUUGUUUUUGUAUACACAUUUUGUGUUUUCUCUCUGCUGCUGACACCGUGUGGUGAAGCAGCAGCUGCCAACCUUGUCAGGGCUGCUCCCUGGAAUAAUUUUGAUUUGUGAAACACUGAAUUCCCUGCUGGAAUCCCAGUCACAGCCCCAGAUCAAUGUGCAGUUGAAGGUCUCCCAGCCUGACCAGGACAAUUUCCUGUCUCUGGACAUGGAAAAUGGGGGAAAACUCAGACUGUGCUGGGGGCAGAAUCCAGACUGGGGCAGUGAGGCAGCGAGCUCAGCCCAGGCUGGGGUUGGCCCAGGGCUGUUCCCUGUUGGAUGGCACCGUGUGGAACAGAUCCUUCUCUUCCUUUGUCCAAAGUCUGAUGG